GGGGGAUUAGCUCAAAUGGUAGAGCGCUCGCUUUGCAUGUGUGAGAGGUAGUGGGAUCGAUGCCCACAUUCUCCA
rnacentral:tRNA from 1 species